GAUGAACGCUGGCGGUGGGCUUAACACAUGCAAGUCGAAGGGCAAGGCGCUGCUUUCUUGGUGAGCCUGAGGGCCGAACGGGCGCGGAACCGUAGCGCGUCCUCCCCUUGCCUCUGGGAUGACGUUAAGCAACUGGGGCAAAGACCGGAUACGAGCACCCUCUGCAUUGUGGGGGCAGGAUAGAUUCGGCGGAUGGGGAUGGGCUCGAGGCUUAUCAGCCAGUUGGUGGGGGGGUGGCUUACCAAGGCCUUGGCGGGUGGUCGGCCUGAGAGGGUGACCGGCCACAUUGGGACUGAGCUACGGCCCGGACUCCUACGGGAGGCAGCAGUGGGGAAUAUUGCACGAUGGGCCGAAGCCUGAUGCAGCAACGCCGCGUGCUGGAUUGCGGCCUUCGGUUUGUAAGCCGCUUUCGCCUGUGACGAAGCGUGAGUGACGGUAAUGGGUAAAGAAGCACCGGCUAACUACGUG
rnacentral:rRNA from 1 species